AGAGUUUGAUCAUGGCUCAGAUUGAACGCUGGCGGCAGGCCUAACACAUGCAAGUCGAACGGUAACAGGAAACAGCUUGCUGUUUCGCUGACGAGUGGCGGACGGGUGAGUAAUGUCUGGGAAACUGCCUGAUGGAGGGGGAUAACUACUGGAAACGGUAGCUAAUACCGCAUAACGUCGCAAGACCAAAGAGGGGGACCUUCGGGCCUCUUGCCAUCAGAUGUGCCCAGAUGGGAUUAGCUAGUAGGUGGGGUAACGGCUCACCUAGGCGACGAUCCCUAGCUGGUCUGAGAGGAUGACCAGCCACACUGGAACUGAGACACGGUCCAGACUCCUACGGGAGGCAGCAGUGGGGAAUAUUGCACAAUGGGCGCAAGCCUGAUGCAGCCAUGCCGCGUGUAUGAAGAAGGCCUUCGGGUUGUAAAGUACUUUCAGCGGGGAGGAAGGGAGUAAAGUUAAUACCUUUGCUCAUUGACGUUACCCGCAGAAGAAGCACCGGCUAACUCCGUGCCAGCAGCCGCGGUAAUACGGAGGGUGCAAGCGUUAAUCGGAGUUACUGGGCGUAAAGCGCACGCAGGCGGUUUGUUAAGUCAGAUGUGAAAUCCCCGGGCUCAACCUGGGAACUGCAUCUGAUACUGGCAAGCUUGAGUCUCGUAGAGGGGGGUAGAAUUCCAGGUGUAGCGGUGAAAUGCGUAGAGAUCUGGAGGAAUACCGGUGGCGAAGGCGGCCCCCUGGACGAAGACUGACGCUCAGGUGCGAAAGCGUGGGGAGCAAACAGGAUUAGAUACCCUGGUAGUCCACGCCGUAAACGAUGUCGACUUGGAGGUUGUGCCCUUGAGGCGUGGCUUCCGGAGCUAACGCGUUAAGUCGACCGCCUGGGGAGUACGGCCGCAAGGUUAAAACUCAAAUGAAUUGACGGGGGCCCGCACAAGCGGUGGAGCAUGUGGUUUAAUUCGAUGCAACGCGAAGAACCUUACCUGGUCUUGACAUCCACGGAAGUUUUCAGAGAUGAGAAUGUGCCUUCGGGAACCGUGAGACAGGUGCUGCAUGGCUGUCGUCAGCUCGUGUUGUGAAAUGUUGGGUUAAGUCCCGCAACGAGCGCAACCCUUAUCCUUUGUUGCCAGCGGUCCGGCCGGGAACUCAAAGGAGACUGCCAGUGAUAAACUGGAGGAAGGUGGGGAUGACGUCAAGUCAUCAUGGCCCUUACGACCAGGGCUACACACGUGCUACAAUGGCGCAUACAAAGAGAAGCGACCUCGCGAGAGCAAGCGGACCUCAUAAAGUGCGUCGUAGUCCGGAUUGGAGUCUGCAACUCGACUCCAUGAAGUCGGAAUCGCUAGUAAUCGUGGAUCAGAAUGCCACGGUGAAUACGUUCCCGGGCCUUGUACACACCGCCCGUCACACCAUGGGAGUGGGUUGCAAAAGAAGUAGGUAGCUUAACCUUCGGGAGGGCGCUUACCACUUUGUGAUUCAUGACUGGGGUGAAGUCGUAACAAGGUAACCGUAGGGGAACCUGCGGUUG
rnacentral:rRNA from 1 species